GGCGCGCAAAUUACCCAAUCCCGACUCGGGGAGGUAGUGACAAUAAAUACUGAUACAGGGCUCUUUUGGGUCUUGUAAUUGGAAUGAGUACAAUUUAAAUCCCUUAACGAGGAACAAUUGGAGGGCAAGUCUGGUGCCAGCAGCCGCGGUAAUUCCAGCUCCAAUAGCGUAUAUUAAAGUUGUUGUGGUUAAAAAGCUCGUAGUUGAACCUUGGGCCUGGCUGGCCGGUCCGCCUCACCGCGUGUACUGGUCCGGCCGGGCCUUUCCCUCUGUGGAACCCCAUGCCCUUCACUGGGUGUGGCGGGGAAACAGGACUUUUACUUUGAAAAAAUUAGAGUGCUCCAGGCAGGCCUAUGCUCGAAUACAUUAGCAUGGAAUAAUAAAAUAGGACGUGUGGUUCUAUUUUGUUGGUUUCUAGGACCGCCGUAAUGAUUAAUAGGGACAGUCGGGGGCAUCAGUAUUCAAUUGUCAGAGGUGAAAUUCUUGGAUUUAUUGAAGACUAACUACUGCGAAAGCAUUUGCCAAGGAUGUUUUCAUUAAUCAGGAACGAAAGUUAGGGGAUCGAAGACGAUCAGAUACCGUCGUAGUCUUAACCAUAAACUAUGCCGACUAGGGAUCGGACGAUGUUAUUAUUUGACUCGUUCGGCACCUUACGAGAA
rnacentral:rRNA from 1 species